GGCAUCUAGUGGUGAAGACUGGAAUAUGGCAGGUGUCCUGGUGAAACCGAUACAGCUUAGGAAAUCUGGGAGAGGGGAGAGGAUUACAGUUCUCAGAUACUCUGGGCCAACAUGUCCAACAGUCAAGCCAGCUGAAGGAUUCUAGGACUUCUAGACCAGAAAGAAGGCAGAAGGAAGCACCACCUUUCAGAGAAGAAUAUGGAACCUGUGAAAAUGGACGUGGGACACAACCAGCACUGGCACAAAGAAAAGCUCUGUAUAAAUCAGUUAUCCACUGAGAUGGAAGAGAACUGAAACCAUGGCAAAUAUUGGCAUAAACUAGCUCGGAGCGAGAAGAAUAUUAACAGCCCAGCUGCAGCUGGAAGAAGAUUAAAAUUCAACCCUCACCUUAAAGGGAAGUAGUUCUGCUCUCUGCUAUGAAAUCCACAAAUGGGGUCAGAAUCUAAAAUCCAAUGACUUUUUGGAGUGAUAU